UGGGGAAUAUUGGACAAUGGGCGCAAGCCUGAUCCAGCCAUGCCGCGUGGGUGAAGAAGGCCUUAGGGUUGUAAACCCCUUUCAGCGGGGAAGAUAAUGACGGUACCCGCAGAAGAAGCCCCGGCUAACUCCGUGCCAGCAGCCGCGGUAAUACGGAGGGGGCUAGCGUUGUUCGGAAUUACUGGGCGUAAAGCGCGCGUAGGCGGACUUUCAAGUCAGGGGUGAAAUCCCGAGGCUCAACCUCGGAGCUGCCUUUGAUACUGAUAGUCUUGAGUCCGAGAGAGGUGAGUGGAAUUCCUAGUGUAGAGGUGAAAUUCGUAGAUAUUGGGAGGAACAUCAGUGGCGAAGGCGGCCACCUGGACGGUGACUGACGCUGAGACGCGAAAGCGUGGGGAGCAAACAGGAUUAGAUACCCCCGUAGUCC
rnacentral:rRNA from 1 species